AUACGGAGGGUGCAAGCGUUACUCGGAAUCACAGGGCGUAAAGCGCGCGCAGGCGGCUUGAUAAGUUGGAUGUGAAAGCCUACGGCUCAACCGUAGAACUGCAUCCAAAACUGUCAGGCUAGAGUGUGGGAGAGGAAGAUGGAAUUAGUUGUGUAGGGGUAAAAUCCGUAGAGAUAACUAGGAAUACCAAAAGCGAAGGCAAUCUUCUGGAACACUACUGACGCUGAGGCGCGAAGGCGUGGGGAGCAAACAGGAUUAGAAACCCGAGUAGUCC
rnacentral:rRNA from 1 species